UACAGGGGGUGCAAACGUUGCUCGGAAUCAUUGGGCGUAAAGCGCACGUAGGCGGUCUGUUAUGUCGGAUGUGAAAGCGCUUGGCUCAACUGAGGAAGUGCAUCCGAAACUGGCAGGCUAGAGUACUAAAGAGGGUCGCGGAAUUCCCGGUGUAGAGGUGAAAUUCGUAGAUAUCGGGAGGAACACCGGUGGCGAAGGCGGCGACCUGGGUAGAUACUGACGCUGAGGUGCGAAAGCGUGGGGAGCAAACAGG
rnacentral:rRNA from 1 species